GGCUGAAAUUCGCCUUCAUGAAGCCGGAAUUGCUAGUAAUGGCAGGUCAGCAUACUGCCGUGAAUACGUUCCCGGGCCUUGUACACACCGCCCGUCACACCAUGAGAGUUGGGGAUACCUGAAGCCUGUGAGCCAACUAUAUAGAGGCAGCAGUCGAAGGUAGAAUCAAUGAUUGGGGUGAAGUCGUAACAAGGUAUC
rnacentral:rRNA from 1 species